rnacentral:rRNA from 1 species
GGCCGCGACCAUACCACGUUGUAAACACCGGUUCUCGUCUGAUCACCGAAGUUAAGCAACGUCGGGCCCGGUUAGUACUUGCAUGGGUGACCGGCUGGGAAUACCGGGUGUUGCGGCUGUUC